UACAGAGGGUGCAAGCGUUGCUCGGAUUUACUGGGCGUAAAGCGUACGCAGACGGUGAGGAAGGUCGAAUGUGAAAGCCCCGGGCUCAACCCGGGAACUGCAUCCGAAACCAUCUCGCUAGAGUGUGGGAGAGGGAAGCGGAAUUCCUGGUGUAGAGGUGAAAUUCGUAGAUAUCAGGAGGAACACCGGCGGCGAAGGCGGCUUCCUGGCCCAUUACUGACGUUCAGGUACGAAAGCGUGGGUAGCAAACAGG
rnacentral:misc_RNA from 1 species